AGAAGAGUGCCUGACGAGCCCAGCUGUGAGUCUGUCUUAUGAAAAAUGCCUUUUGAAAGCUGCAUUGAGAGUUACAAGAACGACAUUCCUGCUGUGAGAAUGGCGCCAAAGCGAUUGAGAAAAACGAUUUGGCAGUCCCCUCCAGUCCACUAUCAUCUCCACCACUGCAGGAAGCUCUGGAAGGACAUUGAUGAGGCCCUACUGUGCAACACAAACACAGAUGGAAAGGACUGCCCCUGCACCGUCACACGCUUCAGGUAAUUGCAUUCAAAUGCAAGACAUCAGAGGUUGAGUAAAAUCCAGAAUUCUCAUCUUUGAUAAACGGCAAUGAAUAUAAAUAAGGGGCAAGCAAACGGGAAAAUAAACAAACCAAAAAAAUCCAAAAAAACAGCCUGGCUUCAUUAACCGUAAGCAGCUGCAGAGAUCCCCUCAUUUUGCUAAAGUUCACCUCACCUGUGCAUCCCAUUGUCUUCAGUUUUGACUUUGUCUUUGAGUGAUGCCUUAAAGCAUGAAUUUUAGGGGGUAACCUUACAAAUGAGGUAAUAUCUUCUUGAAAAAUUUUGUU